rnacentral:rRNA from 1 species
AAAGGAAUAGACGGGGACCCGCACAAGCAGCGGAGCAUGUGGUUUAAUUCGAAGCAACGCGAAGAACCUUACCAGGUCUUGACAUCCCAUUGGCCGGUAUAGAGAUAUACCUUUCCUUCGGGACAAUGGAGACAGGUGGUGCAUGGUUGUCGUCAGCUCGUGUCGUGAGAUGUUGGGUUAAGUCCCGUAACGAGCGCAACCCCUAUAUUUAGUUGCCAUCAAGUAAAGUUGGGCACUCUAGAUAGACUGCCGGGGAUAACUCGGAGGAAGGUGGGGAUGACGUCAAAUCAUCAUGCCCCUUAUGUCCUGGGCUACACACGUGCUACAAUGGCCGGAACAAAGGGCAGCGAAGCCGCAAGGUGGAGCUAAUCUCACAAAUCUGGUCCCAGUUCGGAUUGUGGGCUGCAACUCGCCCACAUGAAGUCGGAGUUGCUAGUAAUCGCGAAUCAGCACGUCGCGGUGAAUGCGUUCCCGGGUCUUGUACACACCGCCCGU